CGGGGAUUGGCGCAGCAAGCUAGCGCGCACGCAUGGGGUGCGUGAGGUCCCGGGGGCAGAUCCCGGAUCCCCGA
rnacentral:tRNA from 1 species